CAUGCACAUUGUUAGAUAUUGAAGUUGAGGCUGCUGCCUAAUCAGUGAACUCAAAAGUGUAGGUAGGGUGCUAUGUGAGGGGCAAGUCUAACACCACAAGGGUCUCUGGCCCAGUGAGUGGAGUUUGAUAGUAAUUCUUACUACAGGU
ensembl:snoRNA SNORA62 Small nucleolar RNA SNORA62/SNORA6 family